UGGGGAAUAUUGGGCAAUGGGCGCAAGCCUGACCCAGCAACGCCGCGUGAAGGAAGAAGGCUUUCGGGUUGUAAACUUCUUUUAAGUGGGAAGAGUAGAAGACGGUACCACUUGAAUAAGCCACGGCUAACUACGUGCCAGCAGCCGCGGUAAUACGUAGGUGGCAAGCGUUGUCCGGAUUUACUGGGUGUAAAGGGCGUGCAGCCGGGCAUGCAAGUCAGAUGUGAAAUCUCAGGGCUUAACCCUGAAACUGCAUUUGAAACUGUAUGUCUUGAGUGCCGGAGAGGUAAUCGGAAUUCCUUGUGUAGCGGUGAAAUGCGUAGAUAUAAGGAAGAACACCAGUGGCGAAGGCGGAUUACUGGACGGUAACUGACGGUGAGGCGCGAAAGCGUGGGGAGCGAACAGGAUUAGAUACCCUGGUAGUCCACGCUGUAAACGAUGGAUACUAGGUGUGCGGGGACUGACCCCCUGCGUGCCGCAGUUAACACAAUAAGUAUCCCACCUGGGGAGUACGAUCGCAAGGUUGAAACUCAAAGGAAUUGACGGGGGCCCGCACAAGCGGUGGAUUAUGUGGUUUAAUUCGAAGCAACGCGAAGAGCCUUACCAGGUCUUGACAUCCUGCUAACGAAGUAGAGAUACAUUAGGUGCCCUUCGGGGAAAGCAGAGACAGGUGGUGCAUGGUUGUCGUCAGCUCGUGUCGUGAGAUGUUGGGUUAAGUCCCGCAACGAGCGCAACCCCUAUUGUUAGUUGCUACGCAAGAGCACUCUAGCGAGACUGCCGUUGACAAAACGGAGGAAGGUGGGGACGACGUCAAAUCAUCAUGCCCCUUAUGACCUGGGCUACACACGUAAUACAAUGGCGGUCAACAAAGGGAUGCAAAGCCGCGAGGCAGAGCGAACCCCAAAAAGCCGUCCCAGUUCGGAUCGCAGGCUGCAACCCGCCUGCGUGAAGUCGGAAUCGCUAGUAAUCGUGGGUCAGCAUACCACGGUGAAUACGUUCCC
rnacentral:rRNA from 1 species